rnacentral:lncRNA from 1 species
AAGAGACUGGAAGGCACCUUUCCUGCCUGAUUGAUGUUUAUGAAUGUACUACUUUCCCCUGGGCUGCAGUCAUCAAUAGUCAAUGAGAAGGAAGUCUGGCGUUUUUGGAAAUGCUCUGCUGCCACCCUCAGGAUCUAUAUCCUCGAUGAAUUUCUGAUGGCUCUAGCCAUUUCAGAAAAAACCUACACAGAGGGUACUUCA